CCCUUAGACGUUCUGGGCCGCACGCGCGCUACACUGGUCGAUGCAACGAGUUUCUUUCCUUGGCCGACAGGCCUGGGCAAUCUUUGAACAUCGAUCGUGAUCGGGAUAGAUUCUUGUAAUUUUUGAUCUUAAACGAGGAAUUCCUAGUAAACGCAAGUCAUCAGCUUGCAUUGAUUACGUCCCUGCCCUUUGUACACACCGCCCGUCGCACCUACCGAUUGAAUGGUCCGGUGAAAUCUCCGGACUGGCGUGAGUCGGAGCAAUCUGACAAACACCGGAAAGUUGAUUAAACCUUACCAUUUAGAGGAAGGUGAANUCGUAACA
rnacentral:rRNA from 1 species